CGUCCUACGGGGCGCAGCAGUGAGGAAUAUUGGUCAAUGGGCGAGAGCCUGAACCAGCCAAGUCGCGUGAAGGAUGAAGGAUCUAUGGUUUGUAAACUUCUUUUAUAUGGGAAUAAAGUGAGGAACGUGUUCCUUUUUGUAUGUACCAUAUGAAUAAGCAUCGGCUAACUCCGUGCCAGCAGCCGCGGUAAUACGGAGGAUGCGAGCGUUAUCCGGAUUUAUUGGGUUUAAAGGGUGCGCAGGCGGAAGAUCAAGUCAGCGGUAAAAUUGAGAGGCUCAACCUCUUCGAGCCGUUGAAACUGGUU
rnacentral:rRNA from 1 species